AUGAGUGGGAUGAGUGAAGGUUUAGGUGCAGAAGCUCUAACAGAGGAGAGCAGAGGACUGAUAAAUGUGAGACAUAGGCUGUUUUCUUUGGGGCCCAUCUACCCUGACCACAUCAUGAUGUUCAUCUGCAGCUAUUGCAAGGUGUUCAGAUUGUGUAAAUACAAAUGGCAUAAAAACUUUAAAAGAAGCGCAAUUCUGGAAAGAUUAGGUGGACUAAAGCAUUUUGUAAAGCAACUGGUAAUAAUGAGCUUACAGUGGGUAAUUCAUUUGAAUUUGAAAAAUACAGAAAUGAGCCUGUCAAAUACCGGCAAGAACUAUGGAAUAAAACUACUGAUGCAAUGAAGACAGUUGAAAAGAUCAAACAAAUGCUAAGCUAAAUUUAUAAUGAACAAAUUGAAGAAAAAAAAGGACUACAGAAAGUUCAGGACAUCAAAGAAGUCAGGCAAAACUCAUCUUGACACCUCUUGCAGGCAAAGGAAAGCAGCUGGAAGAAAAGGUGAUACAACAGUUAUAACAGGAUGCAGACACGGAAGAGGUUUCCUAAAAAUCUCAUUGUCUAUAACCGUUUCUAUAUUUACAUUUGAAAAUCUCCUUUGGAGACUUAGAACCUCUAAAUUAUUGACUUAUUUUUUAUAUAAGGUCACUCAAAUGAAAGGUGAUUAAAAAAUCAUCUACAUUGCUGUCUACAAAACAUCAGACAAUAUGGAUGUUAGAUUGCAUCUCAUUGUUAACUCUUUACUGAUAGAUAUGUUUGUAAAUAUGGAAGUGAAAUGUGGGCAUAAAAUGGUUAUGCUAUUUGGUUAAUGGUACUAGGCAACAUUUCUGUAAUUAAUGACAUUCAAAAAUUUAUGGCUAGUGAUAUAUAUAAAGUAAAAUUUUCUUUGCAGUAAAAUAUGCCUUUUAUUGUUAUAGAAGGGAGGAUAUAAGGAACCAACAGUUUGUAUGAAAAUAGCUCAAAUAAUAUCUUCUAUUUUGAUUUUAGUAUUUCUUAUUUUGGUUUAUUAGCAUCUUAGAACAAAAUGGCCUUAUAUAAUGAAGCCCAGUUAUGCUGGACUGUUUUUGACCUGUUUUAAUUGUUCUGACAGAUAAUUGGGGAUGAGGGCCAAAUAGUGUUUGCCUGAAAUGACUGACACUAUAUAAUUUCUGCUUUGGCAAAUACUCAGUUCUAACUUGUGAUUCCUGGUAGAACAAGCUUUAUUUUUCGAGCCUAGCAGUGAUCUAGAAGCAGAUGUUAUCUCAGUGCCUUUUAAAAUUUGUUGUGUGGUUUUCUUUUAAAAAGCCACACAAUAAUUUUGGAAAACAAUGUAUGGGUAGAACAUCUGUCUGUUAUUUGCACACAAAACCACUUUUAAUGGGUACAAAGUUAAAUUAGGAGGAAUAUGUUCAGAUGCCCUAUUGCACAGUAGGGUGAGUACAGUUAAUGUAUUGAAUGUUCUUGCUACAAAUAAAUGAUAAAUGUUUGAGUUGAUGGGCAUGCUAAUUACACUGAUUUGAUCGACACACAUUGUGUGUGAAACAGUACAUACACCAUAUUUACAAUUAUGUAUCAGUUUAACAUUUUAAAAAACAUUUCUAAUGUAAAAAGUAUGUCUCAAACUGUAGAUUAACUUCUUGAUUUAUAUUUAAAUAUGAAUCUUAAGCAAAAUAGUGAAAAUAAUCAUCUUGAUUUAGUGUUUUUCUCCCAUAUGUGAAUUGUAUAUACUUAGGUGAGGACAAUAAAAUCAACUGAACUGUAAGCUUAGAAUAGGACUGAGGGGUAAUUUUGCAUAGCAGCUUUACUAAGGGUACAUUGUUGCUUCAAAACUCUCUCUCUCUCUCUCUCUCUCUCUCAAUAAAUGGCCAAAGGGAUUAGUACUUUACCUUUGGAGGUCCUCAAAGCGUUAUUUGGAGUUGAUAAUACUUCAGCUAGAACCAAGUAGAAUCUGUUUUUUUCUGAGGAGUAUCGGUAGCAUAAAUGUGAUUAUAAACAAAGUACAGUUAAGAUGUAUGUAUGCAAUGACUGCUAUUUAUACAAAAUUUAAAUCUGCAAAUAGAAUCAACAUGCUUAUGGGUUAUUAAAAUUGUCUAAAUUCUUAGGUUCUUUAUACUACACGUGCUGAUUUACAAAUAAAUGAUUUAUUAAGUGA